rnacentral:rRNA from 1 species
GUCGAGCGAACGGACGAGAAGCUUGCUUCUCUGAUGUUAGCGGCGGACGGGUGAGUAACACGUGGAUAACCUACCUAUAAGACUGGGAUAACCUCGGGAAACCGGAGCUAAUACCGGAUAAUAUUUUGAACCGCAUGGUUCAAAAGUGAAAGACGGUCUUGCUGUCACUUAUAGAUGGAUCCGUGCUGCAUUAGCUAGUUGGUAAGGUAACGGCUUACCAAGGCAACGAUGCAUAGCCGACCUGAGAGGGUGAUCGGCCACACUGGAACUGAGACACGGUCCAGACUCCUACGGGAGGCAGCAGUAGGGAAUCUUCCGCAAUGGGCGAAAGCCUGACGGAGCAACGCCGCGUGAGUGAUGAAGGUCUUCGGAUCGUAAAACUCUGUUAUUAGGGAAGAACAUAUGUGUAAGUAACUGUGCACAUCUUGACGGUACCUAAUCAGAAAGCCACGGCUAACUACGUGCCAGCAGCCGCGGUAAUACGUAGGUGGCAAGCGUUAUCCGGAAUUAUUGGGCGUAAAGCGCGCGUAGGCGGUUUUUUAAGUCUGAUGUGAAAGCCCACGGCUCAACCGUGGAGGGUCAUUGGAAACUGGAAAACUUGAGUGCAGAAGAGGAAAGUGGAAUUCCAUGUGUAGCGGUGAAAUGCGCAGAGAUAUGGAGGAACACCAGUGGCGAAGGCGACUUUCUGGUCUGU